rnacentral:RNase_P_RNA from 1 species
AAAACAAGCCGUCUUAUCGCUUUUGCACAAUACAGCAAAAGAGGAAAGUCCGAACAACGCAGCGCACCAUACUUCCUAACAGGAAGGCAGCUUGGAUAGAGCUGACAGAAAGUGCCACAGAAAAUAUACCGCCUUUGUCUUAGGACAUAGGUAAGGGUGAAAAGGUGCGGUAAGAGCGCACCGCAAGGGCAGUGAUGCACUUGGCAAGGUAAACCUUAUGGGUUGCAAGACCAAAUAAGCCUGCGUUUUUCUUUCUCUUGGGAAAGAAAUGAAGGGUUGCGCGUCCAAGUAGGCGGGUAGGUCGCAUGAACUUGUCGGCGACGACAAGUCAAGAUAAAUGAUAAGAACUGCAUUGCAGUACAGAAUUCGGCUUAUAGGCUUGUUUUUUUU